AACGAACGCUGGCGGCAGGCUUAACACAUGCAAGUCGAGCGAGGACUUCGGUCCUAGCGGCGGACGGGUGAGUAACGCGUGGGAACGUGCCCUCUUCUUCGGAAUAGCCCUGGGAAACUGGGAGUAAUGCCGAAUACGCCCGAAAGGGGAAAGAUUUAUCGGAGGAGGAUCGGCCCGCGUUGGAUUAGGUAGUUGGUGGGGUAAUGGCCUACCAAGCCGACGAUCCAUAGCUGGUUUGAGAGGAUGAUCAGCCACACUGGGACUGAGACACGGCCCAGACUCCUACGGGAGGCAGCAGUGGGGAAUCUUGGACAAUGGGGGAAACCCUGAUCCAGCCAUGCCGCGUGAUCGAUGAAGGCCUUAGGGUUGUAAAGAUCUUUCAGCGAGGAAGAUAAUGACGGUACUCGCAGAAGAAGCCCCGGCUAACUCCGUGCCAGCCGCCGCGGUAAGAC
rnacentral:rRNA from 1 species